ACAAGUCCAGGUAGUGCUAGUGGCGAAACUAGCACCGAAGAUAAGCUAAAAAUUGAUGAAGAUGGUGCCUUGUUAGACACUCCUAUAACUGAAACAACCUCUAACAAUGAGUUAAAUCAUCAUGCUGAUCACGCGGAAGUAGCAGAACCUGUUGAUGUAAAAAUUGUGAGUUCAGAAUCUACUGGUGAGCAUACUAUCCUACUUACUGAAAACAGUUGGACAAAUCCAGGUAGUGCUAGUGGCAAAACUAGCACCAAAGAUAAGCUAAAAAUUGCUGAAGAUGGUGCCUUGUUAGACACUCCUAUAUCUGAAACAACCUCUAACAAUGAGUUAAAUCAUCAUGCUGAUCACGCGGAAGUAGCAGAACCUGUUGAUGUAAAAAUUGUGAGUUCAGAAUCUACCGGUGAGCAUACCAGCGGAAAAACCUCAGAUGUUCCUGGAGAGACUCCUUCGUUGCCUGCUGCAAAAGUGGUUGAUGC
rnacentral:lncRNA from 1 species